UACGGGGGGAGCAAGCGUUGUUCGGAUUUACUGGGCGUAAAGGGCGCGUAGGCGGUCAGCACAAGUCAGUUGUGAAAUCUCCGGGCUUAACUCGGAAAGGUCAACUGAUACUGUGCGACUAGAGUGCAGAAGGGGCAACUGGAAUUCUUGGUGUAGCGGUGAAAUGCGCAGAUAUCAGGAGGAACACCGGUGGCGAAGGCGGGUCUCUGGGCCGAUACUGACGCUGAGGAGCGAAAGCGUGGGGAGCGAACAGG
rnacentral:rRNA from 1 species